UACGAAGGGAGCUAGCGUUGUUCGGAAUUACUGGGCGUAAAGGGCGCGUAGGCGGUUUGACAAGUUGGAUGUGAAAGCCCUGGGCUCAACCCGGGAAUUGCAUUCAAGACUGUUUUACUUGAAUUCGGUAGAGGUUGGUGGAAUUCCCAGUGUAGAGGUGAAAUUCGUAGAGAUUGGGAAGAACACCCGUGGCGAAGGCGGCCAACUGGACCGACAUUGACGCUGAGGCGCGAAAGCGUGGGGAUCAAACAGG
rnacentral:rRNA from 1 species